rnacentral:rRNA from 1 species
UACGAAGGGGGCUAGCGUUGCUCGGAAUCACUGGGCGUAAAGCGCACGUAGGCGGAUCUUUAAGUCAGAGGUGAAAUCCCAAGGCUCAACCUUGGAACUGCCUUUGAUACUGGGGAUCUCGAGUCCGGAAGAGGUGAGUGGAACUGCGAGUGUAGAGGUGAAAUUCGUAGAUAUUCGCAAGAACACCAGUGGCGAAGGCGGCUCACUGGUCCGGUACUGACGCUGAGGAGCGAAAGCGUGGGGAGCGAACAGG